AGAGUUUGAUCCUGGCUCAGGACGAACGCUGGCGGCGUGCCUAAUACAUGCAAGUCGAGCGGACGUAAAAAGCUUGCUUUUUAAGUUAGCGGCGGACGGGUGAGUAACACGUGGGCAACCUGCCUGUAAGACUGGGAUAACUUCGGGAAACCGGAGCUAAUACCGGAUAAUCCUUUUCUACUCAUGUAGAAAAGCUGAAAGACGGUUUACGCUGUCACUUACAGAUGGGCCCGCGGCGCAUUAGCUAGUUGGUGAGGUAACGGCUCACCAAGGCGACGAUGCGUAGCCGACCUGAGAGGGUGAUCGGCCACACUGGGACUGAGACACGGCCCAGACUCCUACGGGAGGCAGCCGUAGGGAAUCUUCCGCAAUGGACGAAAGUCUGACGGAGCAACGCCGCGUGAGUGAUGAAGGUUUUCGGAUCGUAAAACUCUGUUGUUAGGGAAGAACAAGUACGAGAGUAACUGCUCGUACCUUGACGGUACCUAACCAGAAAGCCACGGCUAACUACGUGCCAGCAGCCGCGGUAAUACGUAGGUGGCAAGCGUUGUCCGGAAUUAUUGGGCGUAAAGCGCGCGCAGGCGGUCCUUUAAGUCUGAUGUGAAAGCCCACGGCUCAACCGUGGAGGGUCAUUGGAAACUGGGGGACUUGAGUGCAGAAGAGAAGAGUGGAAUUCCACGUGUAGCGGUGAAAUGCGUAGAGAUGUGGAGGAACACCAGUGGCGAAGGCGACUCUUUGGUCUGUAACUGACGCUGAGGCGCGAAAGCGUGGGGAGCAAACAGGAUUAGAUACCCUGAUAGUCCACGCCGUAAACGAUGAGUGCUAAGUGUUAGAGGGUUUCCGCCCUUUAGUGCUGCAGCAA
rnacentral:rRNA from 1 species